rnacentral:rRNA from 1 species
AUUGAACGCUGGCGGACGGCCUAACACAUGCAAGUAGAACGAGUGGCGUACGGGUGAGUAAUGGCUGGGAAACUGCCUGAAAGAGGGGGAUAACUACGGGAAACGGUACCUAAUCCCGCAUACCAUCAUAUGUGCCCAGAUGGGCUUAGCUUGUUGGUGGGGUAACGCCUCCCCAAGGCGACGGUCCCUAGCUGGUCUGAGAGGAUGACCAGCCAGACGGGAACGGAGACACGGCCCAGACUCCCACGGGAGCCACCGCGGGGGAAGAUUGGACAAUGGGCGCAAGCCUGACGCAGCCAUGCCGCGUGUAGCAAUAAGGCCUUCGGGUUGUAAAGUACUUUCAGCGGGGAGGCGUUACCCGCAGAAGAAGCACCGGCUAACGCCGUGCCAGCAGCCGCGGUAAUAC